AGAGAGUGAAGGAGAUGGGUGGAUGGCGGUGUGAAGAGGAAGGGGGAAUAAUUUCCUUCUCUUUUUUUAUUUUUUAUUUUUUCUUCUUUUUGGACCAGUGGUGUAUGUGAAUUAAAGCAGAGACACGUUGGUGGUCUCCUGUUACCUUGAAUAAAUUAAAAUGCCUAUAAUGCCCUUUUUAUAUGGUUUAAUCGUUUUAAAAUAAUUUAAAUCAAUUGAAUCAAAAU
rnacentral:lncRNA from 1 species